AAUCUUCCGCAAUGGAGGAAACUCUGACGCAGCGAGGCCGCGUGAGCGAUGAAGGUCUUCGGAUCGUAAAGCACUGUCCUUGGGGAAGAAGGUCUUCGGACUUGACGGUACCCAUGGAGGCUGCACCGCCUAACUACGUGCUAGCAGCCGCGGUAAUACGUAGGGGGCAAGCGUUGUCCGGCAUUAUUGGGCGUAAAUGGUGCGUAGGCGACCUUUUAAGUCAGAUGUGAAAGCCCACGGCUCAACCGUGGGAUUGCAUUUGAAACUGGAGGGCUUGAGUAUCGGAGAGGGUAGUGGAAUUCCCAGUGUAGCGGUGAAAUGCGUAGAUAUUGGGAGGAACACCAGUGGCGAAGGCGACUACCUGGACGAUUACUGACGCUGAUGCACGAAAGCUAGGGGAGCAAACA
rnacentral:rRNA from 1 species